rnacentral:rRNA from 1 species
UGGGGAAUAUUGCACAAUGGGCGCAAGCCUGAUGCAGCCAUGCCGCGUGUAUGAAGAAGGCCUUCGGGUUGUAAAGUACUUUCAGUCGGGAGGAAGGUGUCAAGGUUAAUAACCUUGGCAAUUGACGUUACCGACAGAAGAAGCACCGGCUAACUCCGUGCCAGCAGCCGCGGUAAUACGGAGGGUGCAAGCGUUAAUCGGAAUUACUGGGCGUAAAGCGCACGCAGGCGGUUUGUUAAGUCAGAUGUGAAAUCCCCGGGCUCAACCUGGGAACUGCAUCUGAUACUGGCAAGCUUGAGUCUCGUAGAGGGGGGUAGAAUUCCAGGUGUAGCGGUGAAAUGCGUAGAGAUCUGGGGGAAUACCGGUGGCGAAGGCGGCCCCCUGGACGAAGACUGACGCUCAGGUGCGAAAGCGUGGGGAGCAAACAGG